AUUGACGCUGGCGGCAGGCUUAACACAUGCAAGUCGAACGGUAACAUAAAGAAGCUUGCUUCUUUGAUGACGAGUGGCGGACGGGUGAGUAAUGCUUGGGAAUCUAGCUUAUGGAGGGGGAUAACUACGGGAAACUGUAGCUAAUACCGCGUAAUAUCGAAAGAUUAAAGUGUGGGACCUUCGGGCCACAUGCCAUAGGAUGAGCCCAAGUGGGAUUAGGUAGUUGGUGAGGUAAAGGCUCACCAAGCCGACGAUCUCUAGCUGGUCUGAGAGGAUGACCAGCCACACUGGGACUGAGACACGGCCCAGACUCCUACGGGAGGCAGCAGUGGGGAAUAUUGCGCAAUGGGGGCAACCCUGACGCAGCCAUGCCGCGUGAAUGAAGAAGGCCUUACGGGUUGUAAAGUUCUUUCGGUAGCGAGGAAGGCAUUUAGUUUAAUAGACGUAGGUGACAUGACGUUAACUACUAGAAGAAGCCCACGGCU
rnacentral:rRNA from 1 species